AGAUUGAACGCUGGCGGCAUGCCUAACACAUGCAAGUCGAACGGGAGUAGCAAUACUCUAGUGGCGGACGGGUGAGGAAUACGUAGGAAUUUGCCCUUAAGUGGGGGAUAACCCGGGGAAACCCGGAUUAAUACCGCAUGACCUCGAAAGAGCAAAGUGGGGGAUCGCAAGACCUCACGCUUUUGGAGAAGCCUACGUCGGAUUAGCUAGUUGGUGAGGUAAUGGCUCACCAAGGCGACGAUCCGUAACUGGUCUGAGAGGAUGAUCAGUCACACCGGAACUGAGACACGGUCCAGACUCCUACGGGAGCAGCAGUGGGAAUAGUGACAAUGGGCGAAAGCCUGAUCCAGCCAUGCCGCGUGUGUGAAGUAAGUCUUGGAUUGUAAAGCUAAGUUUAAGGUUGGAAGGUAAGGCAUUAAACUAA
rnacentral:rRNA from 1 species